rnacentral:rRNA from 1 species
AAUCAACGCUGGCGGCGUGCCUCAGACAUGCAAGUCGAACGAUUAAAGCUCUCUUCGGAGAGUGUAUAGAGUGGCGCACGGGUGAGUAACACGUAAGUAAUCUACCUUCGAGUGGGGAAUAACACCGAGAAAUCGGUGCUAAUACCGCAUAAUGCAGCGGCAUCGCAAGAUGACAGUUGUUAAAGAUUUAUCGCUUGAAGAGGAGCUUGCGGCAGAUUAGCUAGUUGGUAAGGUAAUGGCUUACCAAGGCUACGAUCUGUAACCGGUCUAAGAGGACGGUCGGUCACACUGACACUGAAUAACGGGUCAGACUCCUACGGGAGGCAGCAGUCGGGAAUUUUGGGCAAUGGGCGAAAGCCUGACCCAGCAACGCCGCGUGAAGGAUGAAGUAUUUCGGUAUGUAAACUUCGAAAGAAUAGGAAGAAUAAAUAGACGGUACUAUUUAUAAGGUCCGGCUAACUACGUGCCAGCCGCCGCCGU